rnacentral:lncRNA from 1 species
GAGAAUCUUGUCUAAGGAGUCAGAUCCAUUGCUUAACAUCCUUACAUACUUGGUCAUCUCUCCUAGUUUAGAAUUUAGGAACAUAGCUUCAGUUUUCAACUUAGAGAUGGUUUUCACAUGGUCUGCCUUCUCACUUUCCAGCUGAGUUAUCUUCUGACUUUCAGCUUGUUGAUUUUCAUCUAGCUUGGCAUUUAGACCCACUGCUUCUGUUUGUAAUUUGGAGAUGGU